UACGAAGGGGCUAGCGUUGCUCGGAAUCACUGGGCGUAAAGCGCACGUAGGCGGAUUGUUAAGUCAGGGGUGAAAUCCUGGAGCUCAACUCCAGAACUGCCUUUGAUACUGGCGAUCUUGAGUCCGGGAGAGGUGAGUGGAACUGCGAGUGUAGAGGUGAAAAUUCGUAGAUAUUCGCAAAGAACACCAGUGGCGAAGGCGGCUCACUGGCCCGGUACUGACGCUGAGGUGCGAAAAGCGUGGGGAGCAAACAGG
rnacentral:rRNA from 1 species